AGAGUUUGAUCCUGGCUCAGGACGAACGCUGGCGGCGUGCUUAACACAUGCAAGUCGAACGAGAAUCUACUGAAAGAGUUUUCGGACAAUGGAUGUAGAGGAAAGUGGCGGACGGGUGAGUAACGCGUGAGGAACCUGCCUUGAAGAGGGGGACAACAGUUGGAAACGACUGCUAAUACCGCAUGACGCAUAGAGGUCGCAUGAUCUUUAUGCCAAAGAUUUAUCGCUUCAAGAUGGCCUCGCGUCUGAUUAGCUAGUUGGCGGGGUAACGGCCCACCAAGGCGACGAUCAGUAGCCGGACUGAGAGGUUGAACGGCCACAUUGGGACUGAGAUACGGCCCAGACUCCUACGGGAGGCAGCAGUGGGGAAUAUUGGGCAAUGGGCGCAAGCCUGACCCAGCAACGCCGCGUGAAGGAAGAAGGCUUUCGGGUUGUAAACUUCUUUUAAGAGGGAAGAGCAGAAGACGGUACCUCUAGAAUAAGCCACGGCUAACUACGUGCCAGCAGCCGCGGUAAUACGUAGGUGGCAAGCGUUGUCCGGAUUUACUGGGUGUAAAGGGCGUGCAGCCGGGUCUGCAAGUCAGAUGUGAAAUCCAUGGGCUCAACCCAUGAACUGCAUUUGAAACUGUAGAUCUUGAGUGUCGGAGGGGCAAUCGGAAUUCCUAGUGUAGCGGUGAAAUGCGUAGAUAUUAGGAGGAACACCAGUGGCGAAGGCGGAUUGCUGGACGAUAACUGACGGUGAGGCGCGAAAGUGUGGGGAGCAAACAGGAUUAGAUACCCUGGUAGUCCACACUGUAAACGAUGAAUACUAGGUGUGCGGGGACUGACCCCCUGCGUGCCGCAGUAAACACAAUAAGUAUUCCACCUGGGGAGUACGAUCGCAAGGUUGAAACUCAAAGGAAUUGACGGGGGCCCGCACAAGCGGUGGAUUAUGUGGUUUAAUUCGAAGCAACGCGAAGAACCUUACCAGGGUUUGACAUCCUGCUAACGAAGUAGAGAUACAUUAGGUGCCCUUCGGGGAAAGCAGAGACAGGUGGUGCAUGGUUGUCGUCAGCUCGUGUCGUGAGAUGUUGGGUU
rnacentral:rRNA from 1 species